CCACUUGAUCAGUUUUUAUGUCUAUUACUGGUGGUAGCGCCGGGUUUGUAUGUUUUGUUUUCUAAUGUGUUCAAAAUGUUUUUUUAUCUAUUUGAUAGUGGUUAGUAGUAGUAGUGUGUUACUUUGUUUUGUAGUUGCUUAGGUCAAAAAUAAAUAGCACAAAUGGUUUUCAUAGAUUAAUGCAAUAAAAAUAGAAUAAAUAGCUGAUAGUUGUAUCAAAGUAAAUAUAGUUAAACUUAAAACAUAAAGUAAAGUCGAUGAAAACUGUUGAGUGAUGCAUGAGAUAUGUUGAUUAAUAAUGUAAAUCUCCUAUUGUCUGAAUAAGUUGCUCAUACUCGAAAAUAACUAAUUGAUAGUCAGUUGAUUGGUAACGAUAUGGUUUGAUUACUGGCGUCUGUUCCCACUUUAUUUUUUUUUUUUCUUGAAAACAGUUACGGCAGUUGUUUCUAAUUGUUAUCACUGGUUCAAAUAAAGCACUGAUGGUUAU
rnacentral:lncRNA from 1 species